AGUUCUGGGCUGUGGUGAGCUAUGCCAAUCAGGUGCCCUGUGUCGGCACUCACCUCCAAGUUUGGUAUCAAUAUGGCAACCUCCUGGGAGCAGGGGACCACCAGGUUGCCAAGGGAGAGGUGAACUGACCCAGGUCAGCAACAGAGCAGGUCAAAACUCCCGUGCUGAUCAGUAGUGUGAUCACACCUGUGAAUAGCCAUUGCACUCCAA
rnacentral:sRNA from 1 species